GAUGAACGCUAGCUACAGGCUUAACACAUGCAAGUCGAGGGACCGGCGUACGGGUGAGUAACGCGUAUCCAACCUUCCCAUUACUGUGGGAUAACCUGCCGAAAGGCAGACUAAUACCGCAUAGUAAUGGAUGGGGAUGCGUCUGAUUAGCUUGUUGGCGGGGUAACGGCCCACCAAGGCGACGAUCAGUAGGGGUGCUGAGAGUAAGGUCCACUACAUUGGAACUGAGGCACGGUCCAAACUGCGAGGGGAGGGAGGGGAGAGGAAUAUUGUUGAAUGGACGGAAGUCUGAACCAGCCAAGUAGCGUGCAGAAUGACGGCCUAUGGGUUGUAAAUUGCUUUUGUAUGGGGAUAGGUACCAUAUGAAUAAGGACCGGCUAAUUCCGUGCCAGCAGCCGCGGUAAUUC
rnacentral:rRNA from 1 species